rnacentral:rRNA from 1 species
AGAGUUUGGUCCUGGCUCAGAACGAACGCUGGCGGCAGGCCUAAAACAUGCAAGUCGAACGAUCUAGCAAUAGAUAGUGGCGCACGGGUGAGUAACGCGUGGGAAUAUGCCCUUCACUACGGAACAACGUCGGGAAACUGACGCUAAUACCGUAUAAUGACUCCGGUCCAAAGAUUUAUCGGUGAAGGAUUAGCCCGCGUCUGAUUAGCUAGUUGGUGAGGUAACGGCUCACCAAGGCGACGAUCAGUAGGGGGUCUGAGAGGAUGAUCCCCCACACUGGAACUGAGACACGGUCCAGACUCCUACGGGAGGCAGCAGUUAGGAAUAUUGGACAAUGGGGGCAACCCUGAUCCAGCCAUGCCGCGUGUGUGAAGAAGGCCUUAGGGUUGUAAAGCACUUUCAGCUGUGAAGAUAAUGACAGUAGCAGCAGAAGAAGCUCCGGCUAAAUUCGUGCCAGCAGCCGCGGUAAUACGAAUGGAGCGAGCGUUGUUCGGAAUCACUGGGCGUAAAGGGUGCGCAGGCGGUCAUGAGAGUCAGAAGUGAAAUCCCAGGGCUUAACCCUGGAAUGGCUUUUGAAACUCCAUGACUAGAGUACUGGAGAGGUUGGCGGAAUUCCAAGUGUAGCAGUGAAAUGCGUAGAUAUUUGGAGGAACACCAAUGGCGUAGGCAGCCAACUGGACAGUUACUGACGCUCAUGCACGAAAGCGUGGGGAUCAAACAGGAUUAGAUACCCUGGUAGUCCACGCCCUAAACGAUGUGUGCUAGUUAUCGGGCCCUUUAGGGUUCGGUGACGCAGCUAACGCUUUAAGCACACCGCCUGGGGAGUACGGUCGCAAGAUUAAAACUCAAAGGAAUUGACGGGGACCCGCACAAGCGGUGGAGCAUGUUGUUUAAUUCGAAGCAACGCGAAGAACCUUACCUACACUUGACAUACCUCUUAGGACUUUCAGAGAUGAUUGUUUUCAGUUCGGCUGGGGAGAGUACAGGUGCUGCAUGGCUGUCGUCAGCUCGUGUCGUGAGAUGUUGGGUUAAGUCCCGCAACGAGCGCAACCCUUAUCGUAUGUUGCCAGCAUUUAGUUGGGCACUCAUGCGAGACUGCCGGUGAUAAGCCGGAGGAAGGCGGGGACGACGUCAAGUCAUCAUGCCCCUUACGUGUAGGGCUACAAACGUGCUACAAUGGCGGUGACAGUGGGCAGCGCGGCAGUGAUGCCAAGCUAAUCCCAAAAAGCCGUCUCAGUUCAGAUUGUAGUCUGCAACUCGACUACAUGAAGUUGGAAUCGCUAGUAAUCGUGAAUCAGCAUGUCACGGUGAAUACGUUCCCGGGUCUUGUACACACCGCCCGUCACACCAUGGGAGUUGGUUUUACCCGAACGCCGUGCGCUAACCACGGAGGCAGCGGACCACGGUAGGAUCAAUGACUGGGGUGAAGUCGUAACAAGGUAGCCGUUUCGGAAGGAGCGGCUG